rnacentral:tRNA from 1 species
GGAGAUCUUAGCUUAAUUAAAGUGUUUGAGUUGCAUUCAGAAGAUGUAUAUUUAUACAGGUCUUC